rnacentral:rRNA from 1 species
CACGUGAGUAACCUGCCCUUGACUCUGGGAUAAGCGUUGGAAACGACGUCUAAUACCGGAUACGACCUUCGGAGGCAUCUCCUGGGGGUGGAAAGAAUUUCGGUCAAGGAUGGACUCGCGGCCUAUCAGCUAGUUGGUGAGGUAAUGGCUCACCAAGGCGACGACGGGUAGCCGGCCUGAGAGGAUGGCCAACCACACUGGGACUGAGACACGGCCCAGACUCCUACGGGAGGCAGCAGUGGGGAAUAUUGCACAAUGGGCGAAAGCCUGAUGCAGCGACGCCGCGUGAGGGAUGAAGGCCUUCGGGUUGUAAACCUCUUUCAGUAGGGAAGAAGCGCAAGUGACGGUACCUACAGAAGAAGCACCGGCUAACUACGUG